AGCAGCCGCGGUAAUUCCAGCUCCAAUAGCGUAUAUUAAAGUUGUUGCAGUUAAAAAGCUCGUAGUUGAAUUUCGGGGUCAGUAGGUUGGUCNUGCCACCGGUACGUACUGGUCUCACUGAUUCCUCCUUCCUGAUGAGCUGUAAUGCCAUUAAUUUGGUGUUGCAGGGAAUCUGGACUGUUACUUUGAAAAAAUUAGAGUGUUUAAAGCAGGCUAACGCUUGAAUACAUUAGCAUGGAAUAAUGAAAUAGGACGUUCGAUCCUAUUUUGUUGGUUUCUAGGAUUGACGUAAUGAUUAAUAGGGAUAGUUGGGGGCAUUAGUAUUCAAUUGUCAGAGGUGAAAUUCUUGGAUUUAUUGAAGACUAACUACUGCGAAAGCAUUUGCCAAGGAUGUUUUCAUUAAUCAAGAACGAAAGUUAGGGGAUCGAAGACGAUCAGAUACCGUCGUAGUCUUAACCAUAAACUAUGCCGACUAGGGAUCGGAUGAUGUUAAUUUUUUAAUGACUCA
rnacentral:rRNA from 1 species